rnacentral:rRNA from 1 species
CUCGGAGUUUGAUCCUGGCUCAGAUUGAACGCUGGCGGAAUGCUUUACACAUGCAAGUCGAACGGUAGAGGGGGCAACCCCUCGAGAGUGGCGAACGGGUGAGUAAUAUAUCGGAACGUGCCCAGUCGUGGGGGAUAACGUAGCGAAAGCUGUGCUAAUACCGCAUACGAUCUAAGGAUGAAAGCGGGGGAUCGCAAGACCUCGCGCGAUUGGAGCGGCCGAUAUCAGAUUAGGUAGUUGGUGAGGU